UGUCGUGCCCCCAAAUUAGUCGGCAUGGUGGGUGCCGAGGAGGCGGCGGCAGUGGUAGCGAGGCGUCAGGCUGAGAGGGUAAAUCAAGCGGCAAAGGCCCAGUCUCCGGUGUGGGCGAAUGCUUCUUUGGUGGUAAGCAGGUCGACAACAUAUCUAGAAGAUCCAAUUUCUUGUCGGGCAUCAAACAGAUGUGUUCUCAACUAUCAUCGGACAGGCUUCGAUGAGGAAUGUGAGAGGUUUUUCAGUCAAAUAUACAAAUGUUGGCUUCUAUAUUCAAGUUUUUAGUGGAAAAUAUCACUCGGAUAAUAUGGUAGGCUUGGAGGGUUUUCAUGAGUCAGAUAACCGAGACUUCUGAUGCUGACCUGAGGCUAUUUCAUGACCGUAUUACCUGUGAAAGAUAAAUUCUUCAUCAGAGAACUCUGUGCCAAUCAGAAGUAGAACCGAUCAACUCAGUUCAUGGACCACAAAUCUAUUUGAAGGCUGAUAAGUGUACUAUGCAUUAUACAGAUCAAGUAAGUCUGCAAAAUUUGCUUUUUUUUCAAUAUUGGCGUACUUUCAUGACUGUAUUUUAUGUUCAAUAUUCCCUGAGACCAUUGCUUAAAGUGUUUGUGUAGUGACAUUCUUUGUAAAUAAAUCACUGAUGAAUGAUCAUUUCCAUUGGCUCUGAUUAAAAUCAUAUUUCUCUUCUCCUACCCACGGCAUUCUAUUUUUCUUCUUAGUUGUCCACCCCUUUUAGGAAGGUGUUUGGAGCUUGUGGAAUCUCCAAGUUCACCAAGUUUUACAAAUUUGCUUUUUUUGCAUCACUGAUAGCAAAAUAAGCUACAUGCUUGAUUGAACUCAAUACUCACAUAAUGUAUGGAUCUAUUGAUCAUGCAGUUAAGAACGGCUACUUGCUCUUGAACACCAAAGAGAGAAAAUAUUAGAAAAUUUGGCAUGUUACAUAUUUGGAUGCACAAGGUAUGGUUUUCUGUUACUGCAAGUGCCAGCUACCCUAUAAAUAAAUAAUUUACUGAGAGUGGCUUUGCUAAUUUGGUGCAAAAUACUUGAGUACUUGUGUUUAGUAAAUGACACACAUGCAGCAUAUGCUUCUUUUUUUCCUUUUUUCUGUCAAUAUACGAUACUGGGUGCUGCAAUCUCUCUCAUUCAUAUGGUUGAUGUUACUUACAUAUCACCAUAGGUAAUGAUCUUCCUCUUGGGUUUUGUUUAGGACUAACUCAAGGAAACCUUCAUUUCAAUGUGCAAAAGAAACCACAAUCUGGUCAUGUCAAACCAAAAUGUCAUAGUCCCUGUUUCUUUUGACGCAACUUUCUUUCAGUAUUGAUGGGCUGAUUUGUCUGUAGGGAGAAACCCCAAUCUGAUUUGACGUAACAAGGGAUAAUCCACAUAUAAUGCUGUUUCCCAAAAUCGCAUGGUAAACGCUGUGGGGAUGGCAUCUUCUCAACCAUCAGGAAGAUGCAUCCUUCUUUAUUUUUGUGUGUUUAGCAGCAUAUGUCGGUAGUCUUCACCCUUCAUGGGGCAAACAAUUCUUCAGCUUCCGUAAGGUGCAUUUUUAAUGUCCUCAUGCUAUAAAAAUCAAUUGACAGCCCAACAAUUACGGGUUCACUUGUAUCCUCUCUUGAUUAUCUGCCUGGGUUGAAGCAGAGCUCCUCAGAGAAUUAUAAUGUUUAUAAGCCUUUUAUCUUUCGAAUCAGGAUCAUCGACACUGAGAUUUUAAUCUUGUAUUAUGUAAGUCCAAGAAAGACAUGGGGCAAAUCAAUCAGGAGAAAUAUAAACAAGUUAUAGCACAGUAGAUCCCCAAUAAAUGCAAUCAAUUCAGUGGAAGCUUUCCAAUACAGCAGAACCUUCCCCCAUAAUUUGGCGGGGCCGCAAGUUUGCCAUUAGCUUUUGUAUCCAUUGGAGGUGGGAACAAGCUUUGCUCCCAUGGAAGCCAGAAGAGAAGGGGAACAACAGAUGAGACCAAAGACAAAAGGCCAUGUACUGCCCCACAACACUCAAUGGGACUCAUGAUAGGCUGGAUUUGCUUGUGGCCUGUUCAAGGUCCCAUGAUAUUAAUAUCUAAGUCGGCAACUUGGCUUCUUCCCUGUGAUGACAUGAAAUAUAAUCAAUCAAAAUGCUGAAAUCAUUGCCUUUUAAUGUGCUGCACAUGCAGAUGACACCUUUUCUUGACGUCAAAAGAAGGAUGAUCAAAUGCACAAAAUUGGAUAGGUCUCCAUUUGCAUGGAUUUCGUCGGCAGGAAUCCUUUGUUGACUUUGCGUGAUUGUAUAGAGAUAAAUCAGUUUCAUUCUUUCCAGUAUCAUGUGGGUAUGUGUGUAUGAAAAAUAUAAAUAUGAUGUAUUAUUUUUGAACUCUAAGCAAAGUAUGUUUGUUCAGUUACAUAAGAUCCUAGAGUUAUUCUUCAAUGGAACGAUGAUGAUAAUUUA